rfam:Vibrio genomosp. F6 str. FF-238 FF-238_contig_12, whole genome shotgun sequence.
UAUCACUAAGGAUUGUUUUUUUCGCAAAAUUUUUCCUGCGAAAGACAGAAAGGACUCAAGCUAGCCACACACAUAGGCUGGUUUAGAUUCAUAAAUAUAAAAGGACAAG